GGUGCGGUACCCAAGUGGCUAAGGGAGCAGUCUGCAAAACUGUUAUUCGCCGGUUCAAAUCCGGCCCGCACCU
rnacentral:tRNA from 1 species